rnacentral:lncRNA from 1 species
UAUUAUUUUCAGAUAUUCAAAAUAUGUUUCUCUUUUGCAAUUUACAUUAUUACAUUCCACUUAUGUUUUCAUUGAAAAAUGCCUCUUUUUUUCAAGCUGGCAUUGGAAUCUUGACCCUCAGCUUCCUCAUUUUCUUCCUCGUCUUCACACUUCUUCUGUAAUGCAGGCCUGAGCCCACAGACCUGACCAUUUAUCACCUGGUCUUCAUCCACAUAGUGAUCCUCCUUACUCUGGUGUCAUUGUUGUCUCCAGGUCUGCCUGAGUCACUGUAUUUUCAGAAUGACUUCAAGUGUAAAGGAUUUUUUUUACCUGAACAAGAUGAUGAGAAGUUUCUCCAUCUGCACCACCUGCUUCCUGAGUGUGCUUCAGACCAUAAUCAUCAGCCCCAGAAGCUCUUGGAACAAUGCUGCUUUCAAGUGCAUACAGAGUGGUCCUUUUGUUCAGGCACCAGAAGAAAUUCUGAUACUUUCACAGCACCAGCCUCUCCCCAAGACCUUCCCCAGAGAAAAGUGCCACUCAGACCAUCCUGCUGCUAGUGAGUUUCUUUGUGGUCAUCUACUGGGUCGAUUUCAUCAUCUCAUGCACCUCAACCUCGCUAUGGGCAUAUGACCCUGUUGUCCUGGGUGUCCAGAGGCUUGUCAGUCUUUUGGUGCUACUCAGAUCUGAUAAAAGGAUAAUCAUUGUGACACAAACUGUGAGACAGAGGGUUAACAAGUUAUUUUUAUUGAAAAUAGAUUAUUCUGUCACCAGUUAAAUUACAUAAGUAGUACAGAACUUGCUAUUUAAUUUAACUUAAAUGUAUGGAUUUACACUUUCAAUAUGUCUAAAUACUUUUGAAUCAAAUGCUGCCAAUUCUCUGUGGGUUUUUUUUAGUUUAACAUACAUGAUGGAUAGAUACUCCCAUAUGUUUACAAGUGUCUUCUUUUUCAUUUUGAUUUUCAGGCCUUAAUACAGAGAACAUUUUUCUUUCUUUUUGAAGUAUAAUAUUAAGAAUAUCCUCCUGGUAAUAUAAUCUCUCUGUCUUCGUAUUUUUGAGAAUGUUUUAUUUUUAUUUAUUAAAGAUAUUUGACUAAAUAUUAAAUUCUUACACUCAAUAUUUACUUCUCCUUGUUCUGGCUUCUAUCAAGGCUGUGUGGAUGGUGCCUACAAAUUUGUGGCUUACCUCUGUUUUUUAUCUCCCUAAUUUUAAGAUUUUUCUUUCUUUUUAGUGUUAUACAGCUUGACUAUUAUUUCUGUAUAAAUGAUCACCUGUAUUUACCUUUUUUUUGAAAACUAUGUACUUCUGAAUUCGAGA